rnacentral:rRNA from 1 species
UACAGAGGUCUCAUGCGUUGUUCGGAUUCAUUGGGCGUAAAGGGCGCGUAGGCGGCGGGGUAAGUCGGGUGUGAAAUCUCAGGGCUCAACCCUGAAACUGCACUCGAUACUGCUCUGCUUGAGGACUGGAGAGGAGACUGGAAUUCACGGUGUAGCAGUGAAAUGCGUAGAUAUCGUGAGGAAGACCAGUGGCGAAGGCGGGUCUCUGGACAGUUCCUGACGCUGAGGCGCGAAGGCCAGGGGAGCAAACGGG